UGGGGAAUAUUGCACAAUGGGCGCAAGCCUGAUGCAGCGACGCCGCGUGGGGGAUGACGGCCUUCGGGUUGUAAACUCCUUUCGCUAGGGACGAAGCUUUUUGUGACGGUACCUAGAUAAGAAGCACCGGCUAACUACGUGCCAGCAGCCGCGGUAAUACGUAGGGUGCGAGCGUUGUCCGGAAUUACUGGGCGUAAAGGGCUCGUAGGUGGUUUGUCGCGUCGUCUGUGAAAUUCCGGGGCUUAACUCCGGGCGUGCAGGCGAUACGGGCAUAACUUGAGUACUGUAGGGGUAACUGGAAUUCCUGGUGUAGCGGUGAAAUGCGCAGAUAUCAGGAGGAACUCCGAUGGCGAAGGCAGGUUACUGGGCAGUUACUGACGCUGAGGAGCGAAAGCAUGGGUAGCGAACAGG
rnacentral:rRNA from 2 species